rnacentral:lncRNA from 1 species
UUCUUGUUUUUAGGAACCUCUUAUGAGAGUGGAUUUAGGGCUUUGGAUUUCCAGGAUGCUAAAGAAAACCAUAUACUAGAAUAGAAGUACUUUAAUUCAUAUAGCAUCGUAAUAUGGCCUGUAGAAAGUUUAAAUCUAAUAGAAAACUUUCAGCAUAAACCCAAAAAUAUACGCAGAGUAAUUCAGAGCAGUUAACGUAAACACUAAUUAUGUAUAAUGGUUACAAUGAGAGUCCUUAUCACAAACUGAUACAUGCCAAGCUCCUCUCUCACAGUUUUGGAAUUCUUUGGAAGUCGUGAAAGGUAGGUGAAAGGUGAUUAAUUGAAAACUAC